rfam:Salmo salar isolate Sally breed double haploid chromosome ssa20, whole genome shotgun sequence.
UCCCGUGUGGCUCAAUUGGUAGAGCAUGGUGUUUGCAACACCAGGGUUGUGGGUUCGAUUCCCACGGGGGGAC